GUGUCAGCAGCCGCGGUAAGACGAGGGGUCCUAGCGUUGUUCGGAAUCACUGGGCGUAAAGAGUAUGUAGGCGGCCUUGCAAGUCAGGUGUGAAAUCCCACGGCUCAACCGUGGAAUUGCAUUUGAAACUGCAGGGCUUGAAUAUGGAAGAGGGCAGUAGAAUUCCUGGUGUAGUGGUGAAAUACGUAGAUAUCAGGAGGAAUACCGGUGGCGAAGGCGGCUGCCUGGUCCAAUAUUGACGCUGAGAUACGAAAGUGUGGGGAUCAAACAGGAUUAGAUACCCCAGUAGUCC
rnacentral:rRNA from 1 species